UACGUAGGGUGCGAGCGUUAAUCGGAAUUACUGGGCGUAAAGCGUGCGCAGGCGGUUCGUUGUGUCUGAUGUGAAAGCCCCGGGCUCAACCUGGGAAUGGCAUUGGAAACUGGCGAGCUAGAGUGUGGCAGAGGGGGGUGGAAUUCCGAGUGUAGAGGUGAAAUUCGUAGAUAUUCGGAAGAACACCAGUGGCGAAGGCGGCUCACUGGACCGGGUAUUGACGCUGAGGUGACGAAAGCGUGGGGAGCAAACAGG
rnacentral:rRNA from 1 species